rnacentral:rRNA from 1 species
GCCGAACGCUGGCGGCGUGCUUAACAUAUGCAAGUCGAACGGAAAGGCCCUGCUUUUGUGGGGUGCUCGAGUGGCGAACGGGUGAGUAACACGUGAGUAACCUGCCCUUGACUUUGGGAUAACUUCAGGAAACUGGGGCUAAUACCGGAUAGGAGCUCCUGCUGCAUGGUGGGGGUUGGAAAGUUUCGGCGGUUGGGGAUGGACUCGCGGCUUAUCAGCUUGUUGGUGGGGUAGUGGCUUACCAAGGCUUUGACGGGUAGCCGGCCUGAUAGGGUGAACGGCCACAUUGGGACUGAGAUACGGCCCAGACUCCUACGGGAGGCAGCAGUGGGGAAUAUUGCACAAUGGGCGGAAGCCUGAUGCAGCAACGCCGCGUGCGGGAUGACGGCCUUCGGGUUGUAAACCGCUUUCGCCUGUGACGAAGCGUGAGUGACGGUAAUGGGUAAAGAAGCACCGGCUAACUACGUG